rnacentral:rRNA from 1 species
CAGUCGCCGCGGUAAUACGUAGGGUGCAAGCGUUAAUCGGAAUUACUGGGCGUAAAGCGUGCGCAGGCGGUUUGUUAAGACAGAUGUGAAAUCCCCGGGCUCAACCUGGGAACUGCAUUUGUGACUGGCAGGCUAGAGUAUGGCAGAGGGGGGUGGAAUUCCGCGUGUAGCAGUGAAAUGCGUAGAUAUGCGGAGGAACACCGAUGGCGAAGGCAGCCCCCUGGGCCAAUACUGACGCUCAUGCACGAAAGCGUGGGGAGCAAACAGGAUUAGAUACCCGCGUAGUCCCUGUCUCUUAUAA